rnacentral:circRNA from 1 species
GGUUUGUGUUUAGUGAAUCAGAGGGAUCUGCAUUAGAACAGUUUGAAGGUGGCCCCUGUGCUGUUAUUGCACCUGUUCAGGCAUUUCUUUUGAAGAAGCUCCUGUUUUCUUCGGAGAAGUCUUCUUGGCGGGAUUGUUCAGAGGAAGAGCAGAAGGAACUCCUUUGUCAUACCUUGUGUGAUAUUUUAGAAAGUGCUUGUUGUGACCACUCUGGAUCAUACUGCUUGGUUUCAUGGUUAAGAGGAAAGACAACUGAGGAAACUGCUAGUAUUUCUGGGAGUCCUGCAGAGUCUAGUUGCCAAGUGGAACAUUCUUAAAAAGAUCGUUCAGAAGUUUACCAGAAUUAAAAGAUGCUGUCUUGGACCAGUAUUCAAUGUGGGGAAAUAAAUUUGGAGUAUUGCUUUUUCUGUAUUCUGUAUUACUGACAAAGGGCAUUGAAAACAUAAAAAACGAAAUUGAAGAUGCAAGUGAACCCUUGAUAGAUCCUGUAUAUGGACAUGGCAGCCAAAGUUUAAUUAAUCUCCUGCUGACGGGACAUGCUGUUUCUAAUGUAUGGGAUGGUGAUAGAGAGUGCUCAGGAAUGA